AACCUCAGCGUUAAAAGAACUGUUGAAACGCUCCUUUCUCUUGGGGCACACUCAGAAGAAUCCAGUUUUGUCUGUCUCUCUCUGCAGCUUCUGGGUUUUGUGGCAUUUUACUGUACUGUGAUGUUAACUCUCUGUGUGCUUUAUUACUGGCUCUUCCCCGCUCGCUGAAAGAUUGCACUCCGGUGACUUUCUGCCUCAUUCCUGUGCUUGGUAAAGGAGGUUUGUUUCUCAUCCAGAAUUAUUUACAUAAGUGCUUUUUCUCCCUGCUGGCCCUCAAAGAGCUAACCCAUAAAGGAGGUAAAUCCUUUCUUUAUAUUUGCAGAUGAGCACCCCCUCACAUUAGUAAACAUUUACGAUUGCUAACAAAGAGUAAAAGACCAGCAUUUUUUCUCCUGGUCAUCCGUCCAUUCUCCUGGCCUGUGGCCUUGUUUCUCUUACCAUAAAUGCUGAAGCAUUUUUACUAAUACAAUUCUGAACUUGUACUUCGAAUAUGACAUGUAGAGCUUUAUUUCCAAGUCACACAAUACAACUCCCAUCUGGCCAUUUUUCCGUGCCUCAGCACAAGUGUUGAAUUGUGGAGUGACUGAACCUUUGCAGCAGCUGCUCACGAGGAGAACCGUCGUGCCUUUUCUGGUUUUGGCCGCACCCGGUUACUUAGAUUUCUGCUUUGAACUGUGUCCUGAGAUCCUGAAUCCCCGCUUUGUCGGUAGGCACAGGUCCAUAUAAGCAUUUGCGGUCUGGACGUUUCAAAGGUAUUGGCCAUAAUUUUAAUAAUUUUAGUUUGGUCAGAAUGUUCAGUUUGAAGAUCACCCACAUUCCCUAGACUGCUCUUCUGAGCCCAGUCUAUACGCUGUAUGUGCUGCACACGAGCAGAUGGGCUGGAGCUGGCCUCUCAGGGUGGGCACCUUCCAGAUUGUGUUUGUUAUGUGUGACUGAGGUGAGGGUGCCCCAGAAAGCACAGGCUUCUGAGUGUGAACACCGGCCGCGCAGGUCCUAGGGCGCUGCUGAGAGGAAGAGACCAGGGAAUCAGCCUUGGAGAAAGCACGUCUCUUCCGACAGCAAAACACUGGGCAGGUUCAUUUUAAGUAUCAUUUAUCUAGACUUGCAGUUGCACUCAAAGUAUUUCUACAAAGUUGCUAGUUUUUUUAGAUCAAAAGAUUACAGUUACCUCAUUUUAUCAAAAUAAGUAUUAAAUAAAAAGUAAGCACAAGUACCAAUAACUGCCUCAAAAAUACUUGUUAUAUAUUUUAUUGUAACUGGUUUUAUAAAAUUUCCUAGUAAUAUCGUCUCAAUGAAAAGCAAAACAAAAAACAAAAAACAAAAAAACCCAACUAGUUGUUUUAACAAACAUAUAUAAUCUUUUUUUAGUGGCACCAGAAUUCUAUAUUCUGUUCUUUGUAAGAGCAAUCUCUUUUCUUUUUGGAAUAUUUAAUCUUAACAGAAAGCUAGUGAUAAAUGCUGUUCUUAAGAUUUGCCUUUUUCUCUCACAAGAAAGGGUUAACCUAACA
rnacentral:lncRNA from 1 species